rnacentral:rRNA from 1 species
UGCUUGGGAAUAUGCCUUUAGGUGGGGGACAACAGUUGGAAACGACUGCUAAUACCGCAUAAUGUCUACGGACCAAAGGAGGGGAUCUUCGGACCUUUCGCCUUUAGAUUAGCCCAAGUGAGAUUAGCUAGAUGGUGAGGUAAUGGCUCACCAUGGCGACGAUCUCUAGCUGGUUUGAGAGGAUGAUCAGCCACACUGGGACUGAGACACGGCCCAGACUCCUACGGGAGGCAGCAGUGGGGAAUAUUGCACAAUGGGGGAAACCCUGAUGCAGCCAUGCCGCGUGAAGGAUGACUGCCC